rnacentral:rRNA from 1 species
UGGGGAAUUUUGGACAAUUGGGCGAAAGCCUGAUCCAGCAAUGCCGCGUGUGUGAAGAAGGCCCUCGGGUUGUAAAGCACUUUUGUCCGGAAAGAAAUCCUUGGCUCUAAUACAGUCGGGGGAUGACGGUACCGGAAGAAUAAGCACCGGCUAACUACGUGCCAGCAGCCGCGGUAAUACGUAGGGUGCAAGCGUUAAUCGGAAUUACUGGGCGUAAAGCGUGCGCAGGCGGUUUGCUAAGACCGAUGUGAAAUCCCCGGGCUCAACCUGGGAACUGCAUUGGUGACUGGCAGGCUAGAGUAUGGCAGAGGGGGGUAGAAUUCCACGUGUAGCAGUGAAAUGCGUAGAGAUGUGGAGGAAUACCGAUGGCGAAGGCAGCCCCCUGGGCCAAUACUGACGCUCAUGCACGAAAGCGUGGGGAGCAAACAGGAUUAGAUACCCCUGGUAGUCCACGCCCCUAAACGAUGUCAACUAGUUGUUGGGGAUUCAUUUCCUUAGUAACGUAGCUAACGCGUGAAGUUGACCGCCUGGGGAGUACGGUCGCAAGAUUAAAACUUAAAUGAAUUGACGGGGUCAUAGCUGUUU